GAUUAACGCUGGCGGCGUGCCUGACACAUGCAAGUCGAACGAGUUCUAGUUGCCCGCAAGGGUGACUAGCGCUAGUGGCGGACGGGUGAGUAACACGUGGGCAACCUGCCUGAGAGCGCGGAAUAACCCUGCGAAAGCAGAGCUAAUACCGCAUGUGGUUGUUGGUUGGCAUCUUCUAACAACUAAAGUCGCAAGACGCUCUCAGAUGGGCCCGCGGCCUAUUAGCUAGUUGGUGAGGUAACGGCCCACCAAGGCAUUGAUGGGUAGCUGGUCUGAG
rnacentral:rRNA from 1 species